CCUACGGGAGGCAGCAGUGAGGAAUAUUGGUCAAUGGGCGCGAGCCUGAACCAGCCAAGUCGCGUGAGGGAGGACGGCCCUACGGGUUGUAAACCUCUUUUGCCGGGGAGCAACGGGCGCCACGUGUGGCGUCACUCAGAGUACCCUGAGACAAAGCAUCGGCUAACUCCGUGCCAGCAGCCGCGUUAAUACGGAGGAUGCGAGCGUUAUCCGUAUUUAUUGGUUUUACAGGGUGCGUAGGCGGAUCGUUAAGUCAGGGGUCAAAUUGAGGGGCUCAACCCCUUCCCGCCAUUGAAACUGGCGGUCUUGAGUUGAAGAGAAGUAUGCGGAAUGCGUGGUGUAGCGGUGAAAUGCAUAGAUAUCACGAAGAACCACGAUUGCGAAGGCAGCAUGCCGGCUUCCGACUGACGCUGAAGCACGAAAGCGUGGGGAUCGAACAGGAUUAGAUACCCUUGUAGUC
rnacentral:rRNA from 1 species